rnacentral:rRNA from 1 species
GUUUUUUUGUUUAUAAUUUAAAGUUUAAUCUGCCCACUGAUUUAUUAAAGGGCUGCAGUAAAUUGACUGUACAAAGGUAGCAUAAUCAUUAGUCUUUUAAUUGAAGACUUGUAUGAAAGAUUUGAUGAAAUAUAAACUGUCUCUUAUUUAUAUUUAGAAUUUAAUUUUUUAGUAAAAAAGCUAAAAUUAAUUUAAAAGACGAGAAGACCCUAUAGAGUUUUAUAUUUGAAUUAAUUAUAAUUUUAUUUAAUUAUUUUUAUAAAAAUUAAUUUAAUUAUUUUAUUGGGGUGAUAGAAAAAUUAAAUUAACUUUUUUUUAUUGGGAACAUUAAUAUAUGAUAGUAUGAUCCAUAAUUUAUGAUUAUAAGAAAAAAUUACCUUAGGGAUAACAGCGUAAUUUUUUUUUUUAGUACAUAUAAAAAAAAAAGUUUGCGACCUCGAUGUUGGAUUAAGAUAAAAUUUAAAUGGAGAAAUUUAAAAUUUUGAUCUGUUCGAUCAUUAAAAUCUUACA